AUACGAAGGGUGCAAGCGUUACCCGGAAUUACUGGGCGUAAAGCGUGCGUAGGUGGUUGUUUAAGUCUGUCGUGAAAGCCCUGGGCUCAACCUGGGAACUGCGAUGGAAACUGGGCAACUAGAGUGUGGUAGAGGGUAGCGGAAUUCCUGGUGUAGCAGUGAAAUGCGUAGAUAUCAGGAGGAACAUCCAUGGCGAAGGCAGCUACCUGGGACAACGCUGACACUGAGGCACGAAAGCGUGGAGAGCAAACAGGAUUAGAUACCCUGGUAGUCCACGCCCUAAACGAUGCGAACUGGAUGUGGGGUGCACGUUGGCAGGCAGUAUCGAAGCUAACGCGUUAAGUUCGCCGCCUGGGGAGUACGGUCGCAAGACUGAAACUCAAAUGAAUUGGCGGGG
rnacentral:rRNA from 1 species